UCAUGCUUGUGGAGUGAGUGAAUAAUCAGAAAGCGUAGGUCCUGAUAAUAGAAGUUAAUGACUGAAGUAUCUACACUUAUUUAUUCCCUAACAUCCCUUGGGCACUUAACUCUUAGUUAGAUACUAUUUAAAACACUUAAAAAGUAUUACCUCACAAUUACUCUAUCCUAAGGUAGCAACUCUAUGAUCCCAGGUUUAUCAUUGUGCCACAGGCUUAGGAGGGAGGUCUGAACAAAAAUGCAAGAAAAAGGAACUUCUGUCCUCCAAGCCACGUCGUUGUAAAGAUGCAGCAUACCUCUCAGAAAUUUAAGUUAAUAGAAACAAGCACUACAUGCUAAUGUACAUGGAAUGUGUGACUAACAGAGAAAAAGUGACACUGUGAGGAUGUAAAAUAUGAGCUAACUCGAAAAGUCCCCAAGAAGUAGUGUUAAUGUAAUACAAAGAACUAUCUAAUGCUUACCAGUAAUAAGAAAAAAAAUACAGAGGUAUAAAAAAUAUAUAAAUUGUGUGCUCCCACCAUAAGAAGGCAAACGGCAUCCCUAAGAGCUGUGCAAACAAAGCCUUCCUGGAAUUUGAAGAGAAAAAGAAACGGUGUGAGGAUCGAGUCACCUGUGGCACAUUGUAAUAAAUUUGUUGAACUGCACUGGAACAGAGCAUACAGCAUGCACAUUGUGAGCAAUGAUAUAAUUCCAACAAAAUGAUAUCACAUUAAAUUAAUGUUGUUAAUUUUAA